GUGCCAGCAGCCGCGGUAAGACAGAGGUGCCAAGCGUUAGGCGGAAUCACUGGGCUUAAAGCGUGUGUAGGCGGAUCGUUAAGUACCUUGUGAAAUCCCACGGCUUAACCGUGGAACUGCUCGGUAUACUGGCGGUCUUGAGCAACCCAGGGGCGAGCGGAACAAAUGGUGGAGCGGUGAAAUGCGUAGAUAUCGUCAGGAACGCCGGUGGUGAAGACGGGUGACUUGGCCGGUUCUGACACUGAGGCACGAAAGCUAGGGGAGCAAACAGGAUUAGAUACCCUUGUAGUCC
rnacentral:rRNA from 1 species